AACGAACGCUGGCGGCAGGCCUAACACAUGCAAGUCGAACGCCCCGCAAGGGGAGUGGCAGACGGGUGAGUAACGCGUGGGAACCUACCUUUCGGUGCGGAAUAACUCCGGGAAACCGGAGCUAAUACCGCAUACGCCCUUCGGGGGAAAGAUUUAUCGCCGAUAGAUGGGCCCGCGUCGGAUUAGCUUGUUGGUGAGGUAACGGCUCACCAAGGCGACGAUCCGUAGCUGGUCUGAGAGGAUGAUCAGCCACACUGGGACUGAGACACGGCCCAGACUCCUACGGGAGGCAGCAGUGGGGAAUAUUGGACAAUGGGCGCAAGCCUGAUCCAGCCAUGCCGCGUGGGUGAAGAAGGCCUUAGGGUUGUAAAGCUCUUUUAGUGGGGACGAUAAUGACGGUACCCACAGAAUAAGCCCCGGCUAACUUCGUGCCAGCCGCCGCAGUAA
rnacentral:rRNA from 1 species